CAACAAAUGGAAUUCCUUGGAUUCCGAGUCGACUCCGUUCUACAGAUCCUUUGCCUCCCGGCGGAAAAUAUGUCCAACAUCAAAAAGGAGAUAAGGAGACUUAUGCACCGACCAGACAUAUCCCUACGCCAACUGGCACGGGUCAUUGGCCUGUUGGCAGCCUCUAUCCAAGCGAUUUUCCCAGGCCCGCUCCACUACCGAGCGUUACAGCGCCUGAAAGCGACCUGCCUACGAAGUGG